UUUUGUAUGAUUUCUAUAGAAAAAAAUGUUCCUUUGGUUUGUAGGAAUAGAAUCAUAUUCCUAUGGAACAAAUUCUUUCUAUCCUUCACAUUUCAUAUGAAAAUAAUAUUUACCUAGACUCAAUAGAAAAAUCAAAUGAUAUGAAUGAAAGGACAUCUCUUUUUCUAUUACUAUUCAUAGGAUUUGAGAUACAUGACAUCUCAUUUCCUACAAGUUUUAUAUUCCUAUGAACCAAAGUGGGUCUUAGCCUUUUUUUUCUGCUUGCAUAUCCAAUAUUGUUGUAUAAAGCUCGGAAAUUUUUUGGCCCCUUCCAAUGACAUUGCCUUGGGACUCUUUUGAACAUCGACAUAAUACCUCUCCAUCUCUUUGAUACUCUGCAAAAAUAAACAUACAUAGAAAUAAACCUUUUGUAUUAUCAUGUGCAACAUAUGUACAAGGAAGAACAAUUAUGUGUAUGCAUCUUAUUGUGUAAAACUCGACGAGUUUUGAGUCCCGUCCAUCAUAGUUAUGUCAGUGACUUUGUCAAUGGACACUUUCAAAGCAUCAUCCGAAGCCACCAAUUUUAUCUCAGACCAACAAAAGUUAACAUAUAAACAUAUAUUAAAAAAUAUACAUGUAUGCUGAAUGCUGCUAGCUAAGUGCUCGUGCCUUGGCACAGCAUAACUGAAAAAUAUAAGCACUCGUAAUUCAGAAAAUAUAUGUCAAACAUGACGCCUGUAAUAUCUAUUCAUAUAGCUACAAAUAUCAAUUCUCUCCCCCACUUAUUUCCUUGAGAGUCCAUAUGCCUCCUUAACCACCCACUCUUGAAAAAGACAAAGCAGCAUGUAGCAUUGUCGUCUCUUCAAAGGUAUAGAGUAGAAAAGGACUUGAAACUACGGUAGUUAAACAAACAUUCUCUCAAGACCUCGAUGCCACACUGAGAUAACCUUUCUCUCUGCCAGAUGCCUCCCCUCCUCUCGACCUAGCGCAUGACUUUGACUUCCCGACAAACUUCCAUUCGGAAAUGGUGGUGAAGUUGCGAGUCCGAGUUCAUCUCUAGCCAUGCUAUAUAAUGCGAUCCUCCCUUCAGUGAGUUUUUCUCAUGAAGGAAAAAAAAAAGAGAAAUGGCAUGAACAUAGAAUUUCAUUACUUUCUAAUAAAUUAAAAUAGACAUAAUUAUCUCUAUGACUAUUUACACUAAGGUCUUCAGGAGCAGCAAAGGUACAACAUAACACAAGACUAUUUACAUACAAAUAAUUUCAAAGAGACAUGAUUAUCUACACGAGCGUUUACCCCAAAUGGUAUUGAAGAUUGAUCAAGAUACAUCAUAGCAUAUACUUUUUCAGUGCGAUGAUAACAUAUUCACCAUCAUGCCAAAUUUAUCGACUCAUGUACCAUUGAAAUUUUGGCAGUUCAUACUGUACUUACCAAGAGCAGGUUGACAUAAUAAGAUAUCCAUGGUGGGGAAAACAUCCUUCGCUUUACCUAGCUGACAUUGGCAUUUUUCACCAUCGCAAAUCUUCAGUAACCUAUUAAAUGUUGUGCCUCCUACACAAGUCGAAGAAAAAUAGAUAGAUUCAUAUAUUGACAUGGUGGACGAAUAAAUCAUCAAGCAUAUUACUUUGCAACAAUUAGUGUACAAAACAGUACAUGCAAAUCUUAAUUAUAUGCCUUUUUUAGAAUCAUGGUAGACUGAUGUUUUAAGCAUGAAUAGUAUUUUAGCCUUGUGCUCAGCCUGCCAUAUCCAACUAUAAGGCAGCCAACACAGCAGUGAAAAUGAUUUAAGUUGCAUUUGAUUAGAAUGCACUGGACAACAUGGUAAGCAUGAAUACUCUUGUAUGCGCAAUUUAUUUUGUUGGGAAAUCAUAUUUAUUAGAAGCUUAUUAAUAAUAUACAUCAAGAAAUUAUUCACUAUUUAGUUGACUAAAGGAUAACCUCAGUCCUCAGAAUACAACAAUCCCAUUCUACACAUCUGGAUGUAUUGUUCAAGUGUUCACAAUAACACUAAAUUUAUAUAUUACAAAAAAUUCAGCGGUGAUAUGCACGUCUUCGAGAAAAAUUUAAAAUAAUGUCAAGAUAAAUUCUUGGACCUAAGUACAUGGGAGUACAGAACUCGGAACAUGUAAGAUUGUACCUUAUCCCAGUCCCAAGUAAGAGGAUCAGGAUACCACAUAUCCGACAAUGCUUUCUUCAAAUGUCUUCAGCUUUCUUGCACACUGCUCAGACCUGCACAACAAAUAUUUAUAAGAUGGUGAUAAUGCAACAUGGCUACCUGAGACUCAAGUGAUUUUUUGUCUGCGCCGAGGAUAAUAAACAAUGAAAAACAUUACACUAUUCUCUAAAAUUGGUUUGGACCAGAAAAGGAAGUCAAGGCCAACUACACCAUCAUCUCGCAAGUAUUGGCAACAUCUUGCUUGCGCUUGGUCAUUUCACCAAAGGAUAGAAAAUAGUAAUCAAUGUGCAGACUAAUAAUUCUCACACAACAGUAAAGUAAGAUUGGUCCUUUCCAUCUCCAGUUCAGCGACAAGCACCGUAACAAUAAGCAUAUUUAUGCAUCAAUAAAAAUCAGCAAGCAGUUGUCGUCUUGCCGCCCUUCUCGUCAGGGUGGGUGAGGGGGCUUGUAAUGUGUCCCAUGGCAUGAGCAUCAAGCAUGGCCCCGAGACAUCAUGUAGACAACCAGCGAAGUUCCCCAUCAAUUGACACCAUAUGAUUUCUAUUACCAUGUGGACAAAUAUUUAGCUGAUAAGCACUUAAAGAAAGAAAAACAAUCCUUCAAUCCUAUGAGCCAAUAAGUAGAUCAUCAUAUCUUUCUUUUUGCACAUGCACGCCCUCUUAUUGUAGAGAUGGUGUGGGUAACAAAGAAGUUUUUCCUAUCGGUGUCGUGCAUUGCGAAGAACCUCCAGCAAGAGCGAUUCUUGAUCAGAAUCCUUCCCUGGAGGGGCCAUCGAGGAUGAUGAUUCAUAUGGGGGGUAAUAUGAACAGGUUAAGUGAUACUGCUCGUCCUUGACUGGGAUUGCCAGGUUAUGCCAGAAAUGAGUUCUGUUUUUCUAAACUGAGAAGAAGCUUGUUUAGGUCUCAGCUUGAAAUAGUAACGUGUAAAUAUGUUUUUUUCACUCUCAGCUUGGAAUCGGCAAACCAAGAGAAUCUAUAGGUUUUCUUCUUUAACCUUUUGGCCAAGCGUUGUCAUUAUUGACAGAUUUUUGCGAUGCCUAUUUUUGAGAUCCUCAAUUACUACCAUUUACAUUGGAUCCUGACUGUUGAACUUCUAGGUGGUAGGUAUCGGUUCGCAUAAUCAGGCAAACACAAAGCUCUAAUAGUAACAUAUCCUUCCUUAGUAGAACCAAAAUUCUAUCAUUUAUCUCUAAAAUUCUCAAGGAAAUAUUUUCUCCUAAAGCCUAACUCGUGAUGAAUUUCAGACAGCAAUUAUGCAGUUGCAGACACAAAGGGCACAUGCAGUUGACCAUGAGGCUCUUGAAGGCAAUUCAUCUAACGCUUCGUGCACACCCAAAUAAAUUUACAGGGAAACAAUACUCACAGUUUGGAGAAAUGAGGUGAGGUCUUCUGUCUGGUAUGCACUUGAUGUCCCCAUCUUCACAUCCUUGCGCCAGUGUGUGGGUCGCUACUGAUGCCCCAUGCGAUGUCACAUGAUGUGGCGAAUGAUCGAACCAAAAAAUACUGGUUUGAGAAAGAUAGCUGACAUGGGCAGCUGUUUGAUGCUAGUUAUUAGUCGAUGAUGUAGGUCCUGGGGACUCUUGGUCAUAUGUUUCGCCAGGGAUCAGUUCUCUUUCUUUGAGAACAAACUCCAAUCCGCAGAACAAGCAUCAAGCAAAUGAUCAACAAAAGGAAAAUGUAUCAACUAUGUACGCUUACAUAUCUCCACAUGCCCAAUCUGCUUUUUAUGAUGUUCAUGGUAUAAGAAAUGAUUUAAAUGUCCUUAUUCACCCUUAAAUAUAUAUUUGCCAAAUCAUUAAGUCUAGUAGCUGCCCUCAAACUCUAUAAGGAUCAGGCACAUGCUAAGGCAUGCAACCCACAUUAGGCUGUGGCGGGAAGGAUUACAUGGUCUUUUUUCCCAACAAGAAAAUGAAAAGAUCUAUUUAUUCACAGAAAUAUAUGUGAGCAUCUGAUUAAAGGAAAAAUACUCGUAAGGCAAGUAUAACAGUUCAUGAUGCUCACCUAGCAUGCACAAAACAGAGACUGGCCAUGCAAUCUUCACUGCCUGAUGAGGUUAUCAAUUUUAUUUUUCCUUCUUCGGCGAAGAUAAUGAAGAUUAACAAGAUGGGUCUGGUAUGUCACUUGAGCAAAGUCAC
rnacentral:lncRNA from 1 species